rnacentral:rRNA from 1 species
AUUGAACGCUGGCGGCAGGCCUAACACAUGCAAGUCGAGCGGAUGAAGGGAGCUUGCUCCUGGAUUCAGCGGCGGACGGGUGAGUAAUGCCUAGGAAUCUGCCUGGUAGUGGGGGAUAACGUCCGGAAACGGGCGCUAAUACCGCAUACGUCCUGAGGGAGAAAGUGGGGGAUCUUCGGACCUCACGCUAUCAGAUGAGCCUAGGUCGGAUUAGCUAGUUGGUGGGGUAAAGGCCUACCAAGGCGACGAUCCGUAACUGGUCUGAGAGGAUGAUCAGUCACACUGGAACUGAGACACGGUCCAGACUCCUACGGGAGGAAGCAGUGGGGAAUAUUGGAAAAUGGGCGAAAGCCUGAUCCAGCCAUGCAGCGUGUGUGAAGAAGGUAUUCGGAUUGUAAAGCACUUUAAGUUGGGAGGAAGGGCAGUAAGUUAAUACCUUGCUGUUUUGACGUUACCAACAGAAUAAGCACCGGCUAACUUCGUG